UACGUAGGGGGCAAGCGUUGUCCGGAAUCACUGGGCGUAAAGCGUGCGUAGGCGGUUGUGUAAGUCUGGAGUGAAAGUCCAUGGCUCAACCAUGGGAAUGCUUUGGAAACUGCAUGACUUGAGUGCUGGAGAGGCAAGGGGAAUUCCACGUGUAGCGGUGAAAUGCGUAGAUAUGUGGAGGAAUACCAGUGGCGAAGGCGCCUUGCUGGACAGAAACUGACGCUGAGGCACGAAAGCGUGGGGAGCAAACAGG
rnacentral:rRNA from 2 species